GCCCAGUGAAUCUCUUAAACGGCCGCGGUAUCCUAACCGUGCAAAGGUAGCAUAAUCACUUGUCCUCCAAAUAGGGACUAGUAUGCAUGGUCAAAUGAGGACUAAACUGUCUCUUACAUUCAACCAAUAAAACUGAUCUUUCAGUUAAAAAGCUGAAAUAAAACCAUAAGACGAGAAGACCCUGUGGAGCUUUAAACCAAACCCAACCUAAGUGGCCACUUGGUUUUUAGUUGGGGCGACUUCGGAGCACAAAAAACCCUCCGAUAAUAGCCAUAUUAAGAUCAACAUAUCAAAAUAUAAGCUCGGACCCAAUAUUUCAUUAAAUAUCUGAUCAACGAACCAAGUUACCCCCAGGGGAUAACAGCGCUAUCCCCCUUCUAGAGUCCUUAUCGACAAAGGNNKNUUACGACCUCGAUGUUGGGAUCAGGACAUCCAAAUAGUGGCAAGCCGCUAAUUAAAGGUUCGUUUGUUCAACGAAUUAAAGGCCUACCGGAUCUGAA
rnacentral:rRNA from 1 species